AUACACUGCUCCUCCCGACGGGCGCUGAAGCUCCAGUGUAAAGGGGGUGUCACGACGGGUGUGUGCGGCUGCUGCCCCGUCUGUGCCAGAGCAGAGGGGGAGACCUGUGGAGGAACGUGGGACUAUCUGGGCAAGUGUGAUGAGGGUCUGGUGUGUGUUUACCAGGACGCAACAGCUGACAAACCAGACGCAGAGCGCAAAGGCAUCUGCAGAGCAGUGAUUGAAUCGCUGGAUCCAGAGAGCUGUCACCCAGAGUGCACCAGGGAAUACUGUCAGGCCAACCCCUCUAAAGUCUGCUCUGCCAGGUCUGUGUCUCUGGAAAAGACAGCAUGCCAGGGCUCCUGCCAACACACCUCCUGUUCAAGCUGUCUGCUGCUGAAACCCCCAUCAUGCCCUCAGACCUGCACCCCCUCCGAUUCCCCCUGCCUGCAACGCUUUGGAAAGUGUGUGCACAAUCACCUCAGAGCCACUCGUAAUCCCGUAUGCCACAACAACCUGCAGAGUCAUCCUGAGGGGCAUUUUCUGUGUUUGGUGCCAGCCUGUCCAAACACAGCCAAGUAGUUCUCUAUGUAGAGAGAGGACAUCUUCACUAGUUCAUGUAGCAAAACAGAAAAGGGCAGCUAUACACUUCUUUAUUCAACAUGUUGUAUACAAUGUAAACCUGAAUAAAA